rnacentral:rRNA from 1 species
GACGAACGCUGGCGGCGUGCCUAAUACAUGCAAGUUGAGCGCUGAAGGUUGGUACUUGUACCCACUGGAUGAGCAGCGAACGGGUGAGUAACGCGUGGGGAAUCUGCCUUUGAGCGGGGGACAACAUUUGGAAACGAAUGCUAAUACCGCAUAAAAACUUUAAACACAAGUUUUAAGUUUGAAAGAUGCAAUUGCAUCACUCAAAGAUGAUCCCGCGUUGUAUUAGCUAGUUGGUGAGGUAAAGGCUCACCAAGGCGAUGAUACAUAGCCGACCUGAGAGGGUGAUCGGCCACAUUGGGACUGGGACACGGCCCAAACUCCUACGGGAGGCAGCAGUAGGGAAUCUUCGGCAAUGGACGAAAGGCUGACCGAGCAACGCCGCGUGAGUGAAGAAGGUUUUCGGAUCGUAAAACUCUGUUGGUAGGGAAGAACGUUGGUGAGAGUGGAAAGCUCAUCAAGUGACGGUAACUACCCAGAAAGGGACGGCUAACUACGUG